rnacentral:lncRNA from 1 species
AAACCAUAUGAUGAUUUUGGAUUUAAUUCUCACGACGGUCGUCUGAUCUCACGCCUGUUUGUCGGGCCGUGAUAAACUGAUGUAUUGAUCCAUAUUUUUCUGAUGGUUUUUCAUAAAUUGUUUAUUUUUAUUAAAAAUGAUUGUUUAGUUGAACAUAAUGAGGAUUGUUUUAGUUGUUCCGAUUUAAUUUAUGAACGGAAUUGAUAACCUCCUACUCAUUCUGA